rnacentral:rRNA from 1 species
CAAUAGCGUAUAUUAAAGUUGUUGCAGUUAAAAAGCUCGUAGUUGGAUUUCUGGUGGGAGCGAUCGGUCUGGCGCUUAGCGCGAGUACUUGCAUCGUCUCCGGCCAUCCUUGGGGAGAGUCUGUCUGGCAGUAGGUUGUCGGGCAGAGGAUCCUCAUCGUUUACUGUGAAAAAAUUAGAGUGUUCAAAGCAGGCUUAUGCCGUUGAAUAUAUUAGCAUGGAAUAAUAAGAUAGGACUUUGGUACUAUUUUGUUGGUUUGCGCACCAAAGUAAUGAUUAAUAGGGACAGUUGGGGGUAUUCGUAUUCCGUUGUCAGAGGUGAAAUUCUUGGAUUUACGGAAGACGAACUACUGCGAAAGCAUUUACCAAGGAUGUUUUCAUUAA